CCGAAUACAUUAGCAUGGGAUAAUGGAAUAGGACCCUGUCCUCCUAUUUUCAGUUGGUUUUGGCAGCGCGAGGACUAGGGUAAUGAUUAAUAGGGAUAGUUGGGGGCAUUAAUAUUUAAUUGUCAGAGGUGAAAUUCUUGGAUUUAUGAAAGAUUAACUUCUGCGAAAGCAUCUGCCAAGGAUGUUUUCAUUAAUCAAGAACGAAAGUUAGGGGAUCGAAGACGAUCAGAUACCGUCGUAGUCUUAACCAUAAACGAUGCCGACCAGCGAUUAGGAGACGUUGAAUACAAAACACCACCAUCGGUUGCGGUCNUCCUUGGCG
rnacentral:rRNA from 1 species